rnacentral:rRNA from 1 species
GGACUACCAGGGUUUCUAAUCCUGUUUGCUCCCCUAGCUUUCGUGCCUCAGUGUCAGGAAUCGUCCAGGGACUCGCCUUCGCCACUGGUGUUCCUCUCGAUAUCUACGCAUUUCACUGCUACACCGAGAAUUCCAGUCCCCCCUCCGAUCCUCCAGCCGGAUAGUAUCCAAUGCAGUUUCGAAGUUAAGCUUCGAGAUUUCACAUCAGACUUACCCGGCCACCUGCGCACCCUUUACGCCCAGUGAAUCCGAACAACGCUUGGGACCUCUGUAUUACCGCGGCUGCUGGCAC